UGAUAGGUUCGAGGUGGAAGUGCGGUAACGUAUGCAGCUGACGAAUACUAAUCGGUCGAGGGCUUAACCAAA
rnacentral:rRNA from 1 species